UGCAAGUCGAGCGGACAGAUGGGAGCUUGCUCCCUGAUGUUAGCGGCGGACGGGUGAGUAACACGUGGGUAACCUGCCUGUAAGACUGGGAUAACUCCGGGAAACCGGGGCUAAUACCGGAUGGUUGUUUGAACCGCAUGGUUCAAACAUAAAAGGUGGCUUCGGCUACCACUUACAGAUGGACCCGCGGCGCAUUAGCUAGUUGGUGAGGUAAUGGCUCACCAAGGCAACGAUGCGUAGCCGACCUGAGAGGGUGAUCGGCCACACUGGGACUGAGACACGGCCCAGACUCCUACGGGAGGCAGCAGUAGGGAAUCUUCCGCAAUGGACGAAAGUCUGACGGAGCAACGCCGCGUGAGUGAUGAAGGUUUUCGGAUCGUAAAGCUCUGUUGUUAGGGAAGAACAAGUACCGUUCGAAUAGGGCGGUACCUUGACGGUACCUAACCAGAAAGCCACGGCUAACUACGUGCCAGCAGCCGCGGUAAUACGUAGGUGGCAAGCGUUGUCCGGAAUUAUUGGGCGUAAAGGGCUCGCAGGCGGUUUCUUAAGUCUGAUGUGAAAGCCCCCGGCUCACCCGGGGAGGGUCAUUGGAAACUGGGGAACUUGAGUGCAGAAGAGGAGAGUGGAAUUCCACGUGUAGCGGUGAAAUGCGUAGAGAUGUGGAGGAACACCAGUGGCGAAGGCGACUCUCUGGUCUGUAACUGACGCUGAGGAGCGAAAGCGUGGGGAGCGAACAGGAUUAGAUACCCUGGUAGUCCACGCCGUAAACGAUGAGUGCUA
rnacentral:rRNA from 1 species